rnacentral:rRNA from 1 species
UACGUAGGGGGCAAGCGUUGUCCGGAUUUAUUGGGCGUAAAGAGCGUGUAGGCGGUCAGGUAGGUCCGUUGUGAAAACUCGAGGCUCAACCUCGAGACGCCGAUGGAAACCAUCUGACUAGAGUCCGGAAGAGGCGAGUGGAAUUCCUGGUGUAGCGGUGAAAUGCGCAGAUAUCAGGAGGAACACCUGUGGCGAAAGCGGCGCACUGGACCACAACUGACGCUGAGGCGCGAAAGCCAGGGGAGCAAACGGG